rnacentral:lncRNA from 1 species
GGGCAAGAGAAACUGUGAAAAAUGAACUCCAUAAUUCCGCUUAUUAUUUAUGCAAUUCAUCCACAUCAAUUCAUCUAUCGAAAUGGAAAAGAAAAGAAAGAAACCCAAAAAUAUAAUUUAUUAACAUACAUGCUGUCGACUCGAUACUUUUACAUAUUCAAAACAAAAGGAACCACAUGCAAUAAUCAAAACAGCAAUACAAAAAACCCCACA